ensembl:lncRNA
AUUCGAACCCACGACCUUGUUGGUGUGAGUCAACAGUGCUAACCACUGCAACAAAGAGCAAAUGAUUAACACGGAGGUGCGACGACAUUUAAACGAAGGCAGAGAGAGAAACAUGAAAGCCAACAAACAUAAGCAAGUGCAUUGCAAAAAGCUAUGAUAGCUAAGCAUUCAAAGCAUUUUCUGGUGAGUGUUUGGCGUCAUUGUAAUAUUCCAGAUGAAGACCAGCGAGAUGCAAUUAAGCUCUCCUGCUGAUUUGGAUGAUGAGGGAAACACUGAGCUGCUUUGUGGCUCAUCAAUGCGGCCUAUUGUCAAGAGAGGUUACAUCAUCGCCAGCACAUAAACAAAGACCGGCUACACAUCUCACUGCUCAUCUUCAAAGAGCUUUGAUAGAAACACAGAGUCCAGGAUUUUGGUGCUUUGGUACACUAAGACAGAAAUGUCGCCCUCUUGGUCACGUUCAGUCCGUUUGUUUUUUCUGUGCAUGUGUGUGUAAAGCGCCUUGAGGUGACUUUUGUUGUGAUUUGGCGCUAUAUAAAUAAAAUUGAAUUGAAUUGUUUGUGCAUGCAUGUAACUUCACACACACACAAAAUCUGUGGGAAACUGUUUGGCGGUCUGCACAAGCAUCAAGCGUCAAAGCCUCUGCAAAAAGCUUGAUUAGCAUACCUGCAAGCUGAUCGUGCAUGACUUUGAUAAUUAUCUUUUUUUUUUUUUUUUUUUUUAUAGAAGCAGUAACUGUUUUUAGACCAUUCUGUGAGACGGGAACAAACUGUAAACAGCAAACAGUUGCUCAUUUACACUGGAAGGUCAAUGUGUAUCCUCUCAUAGCUCAGCUUUUGCGCUACAGGAAAUAAUACAUCUGCUGUGCUUCACUAUGCUGUGAAAUUUCAGUUGUUUAGAGACACAUUUACACAAAAAUCAAGGCACCACAAGUCAUUUGAGGAAGUGCCUCUAUAAGCUUUCUAAACCCCAGGAGCUCUAGACAAAUCGUUUAGCCACUGAUCACCAUUUCAGAAGCUAUUAAGUUAUUAGACAAGCAUUAAGACACGAGACGAAGCCUCGCAUUUCUGCUCUGUGAGGAAACUUUAUUGCUUUGGUUCAUGCAGCUGUUGAACCCUCAGACAGCUGCAUGGUCUGAAUAAAAAUGCGAGAAUCCUGAGAGAUUUUGAAAAUAAUUACAAUGAGAAUAGACCGGUUUGGAGCCUUUUUCUCAGUUAAGAUGGAUCUGG